UACGUAGGGUCCGAGCGUUGUCCGGAUUUAUUGGGCGUAAAGAGCGCGUAGGCGGCCACCCACGUCGGAUGUGAAAGCUCAGGGCUUAACCCUGAGAUGCCAUUCGAUACGGGGUGGCUAGAGGCAGCUAGGGGAAGGUGGAAUUCCUGGUGUAGCGGUGAAAUGCGCAGAUAUCAGGAGGAACACCGGUGGCGAAGGCGGCUUUCUGGAGCUGUCCUGACGCUGAGGCGCGAAAGCUGGGGGAGCGAACAGG
rnacentral:rRNA from 1 species